GUUCAGAGUGGCCUUCUGAUUAAGGUCAAGUUAGAAAUAAUUAGAUUUACUGGCAGUGAAUUCUGUGACUGAAAUUGCUUGAACCUGUAUGACCGGUUUAGGCAUCUCCGUGUAUGUGAGAGAAUCAGACAACUGGAUAUAAGGAAGCAAGGGAAGGAGGGGUGGCAGUGGCCUAGCAUAUCUACAGAGGAGGGAAUACAUUGACAUUUGGCAGGCGCAGUGAGGAAGCUGUGAUUAUUCAGAGGCAAUGAAAUUGCAGUUCUGCUGAUUGUGGUGUUAACAGCUGCAGCUUUGAGGACUUCAGACAACUUUUGAGUUUCGAUCAGCAAUGGUGCUGCCUUGUGGCUGGAAGUGCAGGUGCUGAUAAGUACAAGCCAUUACUGCACCAAGAAAGCAAGGUUUACAUUUGAUGAGAAAUAU
rnacentral:lncRNA from 12 species